CUGAAUGGGGCAACCCGGCAUGUUGAAGACAUGUCAUCUUUAUGAAGCUAACCCGCUGAACUGAAACAUCUAAGUAGGCGGAGGAAGAGAAAACAAUAGUGAUUCCGUUAGUAGUGGCGAGCGAACGCGGAAGAGCCCAAACCAAUGUUGUUUCGGCAAUAUUGGGGUUGUAGGACCACAACAUUCUAUGCUUAGUGAAUUAGAAUACUUUGGAAAGAGUAACCAUAGAGGGUGAUAGUCCCGUAUAAGUAAACGACGAUAUAGAUAGUGGUAUCCUGAGUAGCGCGGGGCACGUGAAACCUUGUGUGAAUCCAGCAGGACCAUCUGCUAAGGCUAAAUACUCUGAGAGACCGA
rnacentral:rRNA from 1 species